rnacentral:lncRNA from 1 species
GUUAUGGCGUCACAGAGGCGGAGUAGGGGCGGUGCGAACGGCACGGGCAGGUGGUGCGGUGCCCCUACAUAACGGGUUUGAGGCUGUGGAGCCCGAUGGAGAGUUUGUACCUGAAAGAACAGACUGAGGAAUUCUGAGAAGUUCUUCAUUAUUCUUUCUGAUAAAAUACAUAGGGGAAGACAAGAAAACUGAAAUAGCAUGAAGGAUUGGCCUGCUCAAAUUCAGCUUGAAAACUGUGGCAAAGUUUGAAAAUGAAUCUUUACCCCUGAAUCUUUAUUGAAGCUCAGUCUUUUAUAAUAUGAAGAACCAGAAAGAGCUACUUCUCUGCAGAAACUGCACAUCUACAAGAGUGCUUGUAGUCUUGAUAAAGGAAGUUUAAGGCUAAUCUAUCAUGGAUUUUUAAUAGCUGUCAGCAGGAGAAAGAAUUCUGGCAGGUCAGCAUUGUGGGCACUAUACAAUAAGAAAGAUUCAUGGUCUACAGAUAUAAAUAUUGUCACCUUUACACCUGUCUGGUACAUACGACUUUGA